rnacentral:rRNA from 1 species
CGAAGGGUGCAAGCGUUGCUCGGAAUUAUUGGGCGUAAAGGGUAGGUAGGUGGUUACGUAUGUCUGGGGUGAAAUCCCUGAGCUCAACUCAGGAAGUGCCUUGGAAACGGCGUAACUAGAGUGCUAGAGAGGUUCGUGGAAUUCCCAGUGUAGCGGUGAAAUGCGUAGAGAUUGGGAGGAACACCAGAGGCGAAGGCGGCGAACUGGAUAGCAACUGACACUGAACUGCGAAAGCGUGGGUAGCAAACAGGAUUAGAUACCCUGGUAGUCCACGCUGUAAACGAUGGGUACUAGGCUUCGUGGGAGUUGACCCCUGCGGAGCCGGAGCUAACGCAAUAAGUACCCCGCCUGGGAAGUACGGUCGCAAGACUA